ensembl:lncRNA
CUCUGCGUCCAUCCACACAGACUGCCUGACCUUUUGGCUUUAAAGAUUUUUUUCUUUCUGCUUUCUCAGCUGUUAUUUUAAAUUUUUUUGUCUCCAGCAUUCAUUCAGGCUUAAUUUCCUGUCUACUGCUCAUCAGCUUCAUGAAGAGGGCUUCAAGGUGAGUUUAAGUCGUGAACCAACAAAACAGCUGCAGACAACAGUUGGCUGUAGUCAUUUUUUCUUAUUUCUUAAUUACAUCUUGCAUGGAUAAAAAACAUCUUCUUCUGUUGUUCUGUCUUUAGCUCUACGCCACAGAGGGUACAUCAGCUUGGCUCAAUGCUAAUGAUGUUCCAACCAUCUCUGUUGCUUGGCCCAGCCAGGAAAGCAAAAAUACAACCUUACCCAGCAUCAGCAGACUUAUCAGUGAAGGACACAUUGACCUAGUGGUCAACUUACCCAAUAACAACACCAAGUUCCUCAAGGACAACUUUCAGAAGUUGUUUCAGAAUGGUGGUGGAUUAUGGAGUACCACUUAUCACAAACUUCCAGGUCAGCCUUCUCUCUUAAUUGUAUCAUAAUUCAUUUUUCUUCUAGUAUUAAACACCUGUUUCCCUUUUCUGCAGUUAGUAAAGCUGUUUGCAGAAGCCAUUAGGUAUUCCAGUGAUUUAGACGCCACCAGCCUGUUCCACUACCGUCAACGUGAGCCCAGACUGUCGGAGAGCUCUGCUGCAUGGUUAACUUCUAACCUCUAAAACAGAGGACUCAGCUCAAAAAUUAGUCAGGAUCUUCAGAGGAGGCCGGCAGCUGCAGUUGUCUCUGUCCCUGUGCUGAUCGAGUGUGCAUACUCAGCCAUACUGAAUAAUGCACGGCACCUGCCUGGGCUGAAGGAGGCCUGCUGUGUGCUGAAGAAAGAAAAAUACAGAUCGCUAAUUGACUUUGGUUCCUCAUGCUAUGCUAAUGAAUAUUCCAUGAGGCAGGGAUGAGGCACAAUGCAUGCCGUCCUGUGAGGAGCCACUGCCAUACUUGGAACAAAACUGGCCACUGCCACAUACGUCAUGAUCUGGCCAGACUUGUAUCCAACAGAGGACAGAAGGAAGGGAAAUUCCUUUUCAACUCUGCUACAGAUUUCUAUCAUGUUUUAACAGGACAACUAGGACUACCAGUUACUGUACAUGAAGAUGAAAAGAAACAUCAAGAUUGCAAAUGUGUAGCACCGUUUUUGUAUUGUGCUUACGGAUCGAAAAACUGCCAGUAAGAGCUGUUUUGCUUUUCCAGGGAAUGAAAGUGUGGCAUAUAUUGUGGGUAUGGAGAGCAGAAGGGGUCUUUACCUCCUCCUCUUCUCACCAGUUCCUCUCUGCAGGGUGCUUUCCUACAACUAUGACACUUGAACUGUGCCAGCUAAUAGACCAGGGUGAAUAAUCAAUAUCUGAACUACAACAUUCUCAAAAUGCUGGAUUUUGAAAUGGUGCUAAAGUUUACAUAGCUGCAACAUACUUAGAGUAUAGAGUUUGUCAAGUCAAGUAGAGUCACCUUUAUUUAUAUAGCACCCAAGAGCAGCAUGUACCGUGUGAAAAGUAAAAGUCCUAGUACUGAGCCCUGCAGUUCUCCAUACACUUGUAAAUGAUAUGACACAAUUUUCAUUUACUGCUACAAAUUGAUAAGAUUGAAGACAUAGUCUAACAGUGCAAAUAUAUCUAUGACUGCUCUAUUUAGGGACUCUCUACAGGUGUAUCUUUUCAAUUCUUGCUCCAUUCAGUUCAUUAUGCAAAAGUUUAACAUGAUAAUGUAAUUCUCCUAAUUUCUCUAUUACAUAAGAAUGGAUUUGAUGCCUUAUGUUGCUUGUGUUCUUGUUUUCUACAAACUUCAGCAUGCAUACAGUAAUGCCUUCAUUUGCAUGUUUUCAUUUUGCUAGACAUUUUUAGAGAGAGGGAAACAAGAUGCUUGCAGGCUGAUUACUUCUCCUCUGUGACUUUUAGUUAAACAUCAGCCCACAUCCAAUUCUCUUUGCUAUGUCAUGUUUUUCUCUCCUGUCAUCUCAGUCUCUAAGUUCCUUUCUCAUAGCACUGUACUCCCUGCUCCCUCCCUUUGCAUCUCUUUUUAAUAAACACCCACUGAACUUCA